GAUGAACGCUGGCGGCGUGCCUAAUACAUGCAAGUCGAGCGAAUGGAUUAAGAGCUUGCUCUUAUGAAGUUAGCGGCGGACGGGUGAGUAACACGUGGGUAACCUGCCCAUGAGACUGGGAUAACUCCGGGAAACCGGGGCUAAUACCGGAUAAUAUUUUGAACUGCAUGGUUCAAAAUUGAAAGGCGGCUUCGGCUGGCACUUAUGGAUGGACCCGCGUCGCAUUAGCUAGUUGGUGAGGUAACGGCUCACCAAGGCAACAAUGCGUAGCCGACCUGAGAGGGUGAUCGGCCACACUGGGACUGAGACACGGCCCAGGCUCCUACGGGAGGCAGCAGUAGGGAAUCUUCCGCAAUGGACGAAAGUCUGACGGAGCAACGCCGCGUGAGUGAUGAAGGCUUUCGGGUCGUAAAACUCUGUUGUUAGGGAAGAACAAGUGCUAGUUGAAUAAGCUGGCACCUUGACGGUACCUAACCAGAAAGCCACGGCUAACUACGUGCCAGCCGCCGCCGUAA
rnacentral:rRNA from 1 species